GUUCAAAUGUGAUCAGGCUUCAGGAGGAAGAUCCUGCAGUGAGAAUAAAGAAGAUCUUCUCCAGCUGUUCCAGAGUACCAGUAACUGCUGGGAACACGGGUUGACCCUGGAGCAUUUCAAUCAAUAUACAACCUGCACCCCUGCAAAAAAGAAAUACCAACUCAUUCAAAUUUUGUCAGCCUAUUAGGCUCCUGCCCAGUCCCCCAAAGACCCUAAUGAGGUCUUUGUCCAGGCACAGAAGUGGUCAUAGCAGAAUGAUGGAGUUACAAGGUAUUAACUGGUGCUUGAGGAAGGAGUGAAGUUGAGCAGAAGUUUACUCAGUUGUGUAAUUGUAUAGAGCAUGGGACUUUGCCUAUUUUAACUGCGGAAUGUGUUUGGAAAUGAACAGUGGUGUAAAAGAUGAGGUAUCUCAGAAGUAAA